CCUACGGGAGGCAGCAGUGGGGAAUUUUGGACAAUGGGCGCAAGCCUGAUCCAGCCAUGCCGCGUGCGGGAAGAAGGCCUUCGGGUUGUAAACCGCUUUUGUCAGGGAAGAAACGCUUUGGGAUAAUACCCUGAGGUAAUGACGGUACCUGAAGAAUAAGCACCGGCUAACUACGUGCCAGCAGCCGCGGUAAUACGUAGGGUGCAAGCGUUAAUCGGAAUUACUGGGCGUAAAGCGUGCGCAGGCGGUUCUAUAAGACAGAUGUGAAAUCCCCGGGCUCAACCUGGGAACUGCAUUUGUGACUGUAGAGCUUGAGUGCGGCAGAGGGGGAUGGAAUUCCGCGUGUAGCAGUGAAAUGCGUAGAUAUGCGGAGGAACACCGAUGGCGAAGGCAAUCCCCUGGGCCUGCACUGACGCUCAUGCACGAAAGCGUGGGGAGCAAACAGGAUUAGAUACCCUGGUAGUCCACGCCCUAAACGAUGUCAACUGGUUGUUGGGAAGGUUCCUUCUCAGUAACGUAGCUAACGCGUGAAGUUGACCGCCUGGGGAUACGGCCGCAAGGUUGAAACUCAAAUGAAUUGACGGCUGAGAGNGCGAGACGACGACGAGGGAGGAGG
rnacentral:rRNA from 1 species